UAUUGUGAUAAAAUUUAUAAUCUUAAAGAUUGAAGAUAGAAAAUUACAGAGAUCGAAAAGAAAACUGAAGGAAAAAUAGAUGGAUCAUAACAAAGACAAGAAGGAAUUUCAAUAACGCAGAAAAACAGAACGCAUGCAAUGCGCACGCAUCCAUCGUGACCACUGUAAAUACAUGCAUGUAUUGAAGGGGUUGUAAAAGGAAGUAAAAGCGGAAGUUCAGUUAGAUAGGAAGGGUGCAGUCGUUAUAGACGUCUGCUCGAUCCUAUUCUCUCGCGUCGAAUCUUCCCUUUAAGCUUUUCGUUUAUUCUCGUUUCCAUUUUCAAUUUUUCCUCUUUCAACGAUCUUUUAUGAUGGCUUUAAACGCGAACGAAAAGAGUUAUAUCUUAGAUGCGAGGAAUAAUUACGAAGAUGGAGGCAGUCUUGGUUCAGAGGAAUCUUAUGAUGAUAUGAGACAACUUGUUGGGG